rnacentral:rRNA from 1 species
AUGUUUCCCAGCAUGCAAAGACGGACAUGGUGUUGCUUGCAACAUGGGGCACGGCAGCUGCAACCACAACUCCAAGAUGUGUUCUCGUCCCUCUCCAUUCACUCAUUUCCUUUUUCUCCUCCAAAAUCAGCAUUGCAUCUCUCUCGCCACCGCCAACCGCGCCAUGAGAGCAGCGAAGGGGCGAGGGGCGUUGCACACAUGGUGAACCCCGCUGAUGCGUCAAAGGACACCGCUCGCCAUGGGGCAAGAUCGGCAACCACAUGUUUUCCAGCAUGCAAAGACGGACAUGGUGUUGCUUGCAACCUGGGGCACGGCAGCUGCAACCACAACUCCAAGAUGUUACUACCACAACCGGGAGUGUUGCAACCGGCUAGUGGAGCAGCUACAACCGGCCGCACGCCGGAGUGGAGCUGGCAAGCGUCUUUGUUGCAACCAUGA